rnacentral:rRNA from 2 species
AAAUUCUCAACGGUGGAUAUCUUGGUUCCCAUAACGAUGAAGAACGCAGCGAAGUGCGAUAAGCAAUGCGAAUUGCAGAACCGUGAGUCAUCAGAUUUUUGAACGCAACUGGCGCCGAUUGGUUCUCCAGUCGGCAUGC